rnacentral:rRNA from 1 species
UAUGAACGCUGGCGGCGUGCCUAAUACAUGCAAGUCGAGCGGUAACACUUCGGGUGACGAGCGGCGAACGGCUGCGUAACGCGUGAGAAUCCACCCCAAGGUGAGGGAUAAGCAUCGGAAACGGUGUCUAAUACCGCAUGUGGUCUUCGGAUUAAAGUUUUAUACGCUUUGGGAGGAGCUCGCGUACGAUUAGAUAGUUGGUGAGGUAAUGGCUCACCAAGUCGACGAUCGUUAGCUGGUCUGAGAGGAUGAUCAGCCAGACUGGAACUGAGACACGGUCCAGACUCCUACGGGAGGCAGCAGUAAGGAAUCUUCCACAAUGGGCGAAAGCCUGAUGGAGCAACGCCGCGUGCAGGACGAAGGCUUUCGGGUCGUAAACUGCUUUUGUUAGCGAAGAAUUUGACGGUAACUAACGAAUAAGGAUCGGCUAACUCCGUGCCAGCAGCCGCGGUAA